rnacentral:lncRNA from 1 species
CUUCUGCUGUUGUUUUUUUCUAUGGUCGGGUUGUUGUCUCUUUGGCACAUUCCCCAUUUCCAUUCUCAAUUCGACUGUUUCAAGUUGUGGUAUGCAUAAAAAAAACUGUCCAACAGCAUUCGUCAUUCUACUCGUAAAGGCAUUUGUUUCUAAGAUCGGUAUGGUGUAUACCAUUAUGCCAGAACUCAAAUGAAGCAGAAAGCUGAUGUAACUUAUCUGCUUUACUCGAUC